rnacentral:other from 1 species
CGAAACCUGCUGUGUGCGUGAGGAGCUUUUUAAAACCCACAUCUCUUAUAAGGGAUGCCGAGCUUCCGCUGCGAAUUGCAGGCCUCCCAAGGCGGACUUUGUUGACCGUUCUUGGACGUUGGAAGCAGAGAAACAGCGGAGAGGCGACCCACCUGCAAUUACGUGCAGGUUCUUUCAAGGCUCCCACGGCAAUAGCGGGCUCGA